AGCGCGAUGGCCGAGUGGUUAAGGCGUUGGACUUAAGUUCCAAUGGACCCAAGCCUUCUUGGGUUCGAACAACACUCGCGCUA
rnacentral:tRNA from 1 species